CCUACGGGUGGCAGCAGUGGGGAAUAUUGCACAAUGGGGGAAACACUGAAGCAGCGAAGCCGCGUGAGGGAAGAAGUAUCUCGGUACGGAAAGCUCUAUCAGCAGGAAAGAAAAUGACGGUACCUGACUAAGAAUCCCCGGCUAACUACUUACCAGCAGCCGCGACAAUACGGAGGGGGCAAGCGUUAUCCGGAUUUACUGAGUGGAAAGGGAGCGUAGACGGCGCUGCAAGUCCGGAGUGAAAGCCCAGGGCUUAACCCUGGGACUGUGCUGGAAACUGUAGAGCUUGAGUGCGGGAGGGGCAGGCGGAAUUCCUAGUGUAGCGGUGAAAUGCGUAGAUAUGAGGAGGAACACCGGCGGCGAAGGCGGCCUGCUGGACCGUAACUGACGUUGAGGCUCGAAAGCGUGGGGAGCAAACAGGAUUAGAUACCCUGGUAGUC
rnacentral:rRNA from 1 species